rnacentral:rRNA from 1 species
AAGCUCGUAGUUGAAUUUCGGGGUUAGUAGGUUGGUCAUGCCUCUGGUAUGUACUGGUCUCACUGAUUCCUCCUUCCUUAUGAACCGUAAUGCCAUUAAUUUGGUGUUGCGGGGAAUUUGGACUGUUACUUUGAAAAAAUUAGAGUGUUUAAAGCAAGCUAACGCUUGAAUACAUUAGCAUGGAAUAAUGAAAUAGGACGUUCGAUCUUAUUUUGUUUGGUUUCCUAGGAUUGACGUAAUGAUUAAUAGGGAUAGUUGGG